rnacentral:rRNA from 1 species
GAUGAACGCUGGCGGCGUGCCUAACACAUGCAAGUCGAACGGGAGAGAGGAGAAAUCCUAUCUUCAGUGGCGGACGGGUGAGUAACGCGUGAGUAAUCUGCCUAACAGAGAGGGAUAGCGUUUGGAAACAGACGGUAAUACCACAUAAAGUAUAUAGCCUGCAUGGGUAAGUAUAUGAAAGGGGAAACCCGCUGAUAGAUGAGCUUGCGUCCGAUUAGCUAGUUGGAGUGGUAAAAGCACACCAAGGCGACGAUCGGUAGCCGGACUGAGAGGUUGAACGGCCACAUUGGGACUGAGACACGGCCCAGACUCCUACGGGAGGCAGCAGUGGGGGAUAUUGCACAAUGGAGGGAACUCUGAUGCAGCAACGCCGCGUGAGGGAAGAAGGUCUUCGGAUUGUAAACCUUUGUUAUUGGUGAAGAAAAAAAGACGGUAACUGAUAAGAAAGCUCCGGCUAACUACGUGCCAGCAGCCGCGGUAAUACGUAGGGAGCGAGCGUUAUCCGGAAUUAUUGGGUGUAAAGGGUGCGUAGGCGGCAAUACAAGUCAGACGUGAAAUGCGCGGGCUUAACUCGUGAACUGCGUUUGAAACUGUAUAGCUAGAGUGGAGUAGAGGUAGACGGAAUUUCCAGUGUAGCGGUGAAAUGCGUAGAUAUUGGAAGGAACAUCAGUGGCGAAGGCGGUCUACUGGGCUCUAACUGACGCUGAGGCACGAAAGCAUGGGGAGCAAACAGGAUUAGAUACCCUGGUAGUCCAUGCUGUAAACGAUGAUUACUAGGUGUGGGGGGACUGACCCCUUCCGUGCCGGAGUUAACACAAUAAGUAAUCCACCUGGGGAGUACGGCCGCAAGGUUGAAACUCAAAGGAAUUGACGGGGGCCCGCACAAGCAGUGGAGUAUGUGGUUUAAUUCGAAGAUACGCGAAGAAUCUUACCAGGUCUUGACAUCCAACUAACGAGGUAGAGAUACAUUAGGUGCCCUUCGGGGAAAGUUGAGACAGGUGGUGCAUGGUUGUCGUCAGCUCGUGUCGUGAGAUGUUGGGUUAAGUCCCGCAACGAGCGCAACCCUUGCUGUUAGUUGCUACGAAAGAGCACUCUAGCAGGACUGCCGUUGACAAAACGGAGGAAGGUGGGGAUGAGGUCAAAUCAUCAUGCCCUUUAUGACCUGGGCUACACACGUACUACAAUGGCUGUAAACAGAGGGAAGCAAUAGAGCGAUCUGGAGCAAAUCUCAAAAAACAGUCUCAGUUCAGAUUGCAGGCUGGAACUCGCCUGUAUGAAGAUGGAAUUGCUAGUAAUCGCGAAUCAGAAUGUCGCGGUGAAUACGUUCCCGGGCCUUGUACACACCGCCCGUCACACCAUGGGAGCUGGUAAUACCCGAAGUCGGUAACCUAACCGCAAGGAGGGUGCCGCCUAAGGUAGGAUUGGCGACUGGGGUG